rnacentral:rRNA from 1 species
UCAGAUUGAACGCUGGCGGCAUGCCUUACACAUGCAAGUCGAACGGUAACAGGUCUUCGGACGCUGACGAGUGGCGAACGGGUGAGUAAUACAUCGGAACGUGCCCAGUCGUGGGGGAUAACUACUCGAAAGAGUAGCUAAUACCGCAUACGAUCUGAGGAUGAAAGCGGGGGACCUUCGGGCCUCGCGCGAUUGGAGCGGCCGAUGGCAGAUUAGGUAGUUGGUGGGAUAAAAGCUUACCAAGCCGACGAUCUGUAGCUGGUCUGAGAGGACGACCAGCCACACUGGGACUGAGACACGGCCCAGACUCCUACGGGAGGCAGCAGUGGGGAAUUUUGGACAAUGGGCGAAAGCCUGAUCCAGCAAUGCCGCGUGCAGGAUGAAGGCCUUCGGGUUGUAAACUGCUUUUGUACGGAACGAAAAAGCUUCUCCUAAUACGAGAGGCCCAUGACGGUACCGUAAGAAUAAGCACCGGCUAACUACGUGCCAGCAGCCGCGGUAAUACGUAGGGUGCGAGCGUUAAUCGGAAUUACUGGGCGUAAAGCGUGCGCAGGCGGUUAUGUAAGACAGAUGUGAAAUCCCCGGGCUCAACCUGGGAACUGCAUUUGUGACUGCAUGGCUAGAGUACGGUAGAGGGGGAUGGAAUUCCGCGUGUAGCAGUGAAAUGCGUAGAUAUGCGGAGGAACACCGAUGGCGAAGGCAAUCCCCUGGACCUGUACUGAC